rnacentral:rRNA from 1 species
CCUACGGGUGGCAGCAGUGGGGAAUAUUGCACAAUGGGGGAAACCCUGAUGCAGCGACGCCGCGUGAGUGAAGAAGUAAUUCGUUAUGUAAAGCUCUAUCAGCAGGGACGAAAAUGACGGUACCUGAGUAAGAAGCCCCGGCUAACUACGUGCCAGCAGCCGCGGUCAUACGUAGGGGGCAAGCGGUAUCCGGAUUUACUGGGUGGAAAGGGAGCGUAGACGGCAGUGCAAGUCUGGAGUGAAAGGCGGGGGCUCAACCCCCGGUCUGCUCUGGAAACUGUACGGCUGGAGUGCAGGAGAGGUAAGUGGAAUUCCUAGUGUAGCGGUGAAAUGCGUAGAUAUUAGUAGGAACACCAGUGGCGAAGGCGGCUUACUGGACUGUAACUGACGUUGAGGCUCGAAAGCGUGGGGAGCAAACAGGAUUAGAUACCCCAGUAGUC